rnacentral:rRNA from 1 species
GUGGGGAAUAUUGGACAAUGGGCGAAAGCCUGAUCCAGCCAUGCCGCGUGUGUGAAGAAGGUCUUCGGAUUGUAAAGCACUUUAAGUUGGGAGGAAGGGCAUUAACCUAAUACGUUAGUGUUUUGACGUUACCAACAGAAUAAGCACCGGCUAACUUCGUGCCAGCAGCCGCGGUAAUACGAAGGGUGCAAGCGUUAAUCGGAAUUACUGGGCGUAAAGCGCGCGUAGGUGGUUCAGCAAGUUGGAGGUGAAAUCCCCGGGCUCAACCUGGGAACUGCAUCCAAAACUACUGAGCUAGAGUACGGUAGAGGGUAGUGGAAUUUCCUGUGUAGCGGUGAAAUGCGUAGAUAUAGGAAGGAACACCAGUGGCGAAGGCGACUACCUGGACUGAUACUGACACUGAGGUGCGAAAGCGUGGGGAGCAAACAGGAUUAGAAACCCUGGUAGUCC